GAUUCACCUGGUAAAAUGGGAGAAGUCAGACAAACUGAACCUGAGCACAGAGACUGAGGCAGGAACCAGAAGGCCAACAAGGGAACGUAAGCACGUCCUCCACAAAUACAGCUUUCAGAAGACAAGACUUUAGUUUCUAUCAUCUCAUCUGAUGGCUCACAACUGUGAAAGUGGAAGGAAGCCUCAAAGCAACAUCUGAGUUUGUCUUCUGACCUCCACAUUUGCUUGCUGUGUGCACAUCCACCUAUUGUUGGGAUGACAUUCCUUACUUGGUAUGAAGGUAUCUCUGGAUAAAAUGGCUAAGGGUCCUGGAAUGCCUACUGCACAACCAAUGUGUUAGCCAGUGUUGCAGCCUGGUACAUCUAUCAAGAAACCCAUGUCACAGAUGGAGGUAGAUGCAUGGAGCUCUCACAAGGCAGACAGAGGAGAGGCCCUCAACAAUAAUCAAGAGACACUGUUUAAAUUUGGCAUUUAACUCAGCCAAGAACAUAUGUACAUAAAGUUUAUCCCAGUCAAACUAAACUCCUGAAGUCCGGUGGCGCCAGUGCUCAGCAAGAUUGCAGAAAGCAUGACAGGAUCCAGGAAAACAUGGUACUGGAUGAGCAAAGAGUUCUACAAAGGCUAACCAGAGAAGAAUAUCUCACAGGAAGCAAGGUUUAUGUUCUGUAACAACUGCUCUCAUCGAUCCAGGCAAGCUACCAUUCUCCAUGCAGCUUCACAGGAAAUUGGAACUUUGGAGAAUUACUCCAAGAAAGCCAUAAAAUAUGAAGAGCUGUAAAGGUACUAGGAAAUGUUCUUUUGACUCAAACUGCACACUAUUGACUGGAUAUGCUCAGAGAUGACCUGGAAUAGAUUGACUCUGUGCAGAGAGAGAGAAGAGGAACCCUCAGUCAUCCAGGUGCAUUUGCUUAUAUGAAUCCAGCCUAAUGGAAGAAGACCCAGUUCUUCCAUGAGGAAGAAGAGCUCCUCCUCAUUGUGAGCAUAACAAAAUUCCGGGCCUCCUUUCUGGAGAGGAAUGAUGAUGUGAGUUACGUGAUGCUCCUCUCCAACCUGCCAAGAGGAAACAACUUGUCACAAUUCUUAGAGGUCUCAGACCCCUUCUUUUACAACACACAUGAA